rnacentral:rRNA from 1 species
UGGCGGACGGGUGAGGAACACGUACGAGACCUGCCCUUGGAUGGGGAAUAACCCCUCGAAAGGGGGGCUAAUGCCGCAUACGGUCCCAGGCAGCAAGGUCUGGGAGGAAAGCCCUUUGGGGCGUCCGAGGAGGGGCGUGCGGCCGAUUAGCUAGUUGGUGGGGUAAAGGCCUACCAAGGCGACGAUCGGUAGCUGGUCUGAGAGGAUGGUCAGCCACACUGGGACUGAGACACGGCCCAG